GAUGAACGCUGGCGGCGUGCCUAAUACAUGCAAGUCGAGCGAACAGACGAGAAGCUUGCUUCUCUGAUGUUAGCGGCGGACGGGUGAGUAACACGUGGAUAACCUACCUAUAAGACUGGGAUAACUUCGGGAAACCGGAGCUAAUACCGGAUAAUAUUUUGAACCGCAUGGUUCAAAAGUGAAAGACGGUCUUGCUGUCACUUAUAGAUGGAUCCGCGCUGCAUUAGCUAGUUGGUAAGGUAACGGCUUACCAAGGCAACGAUGCGUAGCCGACCUGAGAGGGUGAUCGGCCACACUGGAACUUAGACACGGUCCAGACUCCUACGGGAGGCAGCAGUAGGGAAUCUUCCGCAAAGGGCGAAAGCCUGACGGAGCAACGCCGCGUGAGUGAUGAAGGUCUUCGGAUCGUAAAACUCUGUUAUUAGGGAAGAACAUAUGUGUAAGUAACUGUGCACAUCUUGACGGUACCUAAUCAGAAAGCCACGGCUAACUACGUG
rnacentral:rRNA from 1 species